rnacentral:rRNA from 1 species
GGAUUAGGCAUGCAAGUCGCACGAGGGAGCGUCCCGAAAGGGGCGCAAACCGAGUGGCGUAAGGGUGAGUAAUGCAUUGAUAACCUACCUUUGAGAUGGGAACAACAACGUUCCAAGUAAUUGGGGCUACCGAAAGGGUUGCUAAUUCUCAAUAAAAAUGCUGACACUUUGGUGUCGGCAGUCAAAGAAAUGGAUCCGGAAAGGUCCAUUUGCUCAGAGAGGGGUCAAUGUCCUAUCAGCUAGUUGGUAGGGUAAUGGCCUACCAAGGCGAAGACGGGUAGCCGGCCUGAGAGGGUGGUCGGCCACACUGGGACUGAGACACUGCCCAGACUCCUACGGGAGGCUGCAGUCGAGAAUCUUUCGCAAUGCCCGAAAGGGUGACGAAGCGACGCCGCGUGUGGGAUGAAGGCCUUCGGGUUGUAAACCACUGUCGGGAGUUAAGAAUUGUAGGAAUGCUAAUAGUAUUUCUACUUGACUAAGGCUCCGGAGGAAGCCACGGCUAACUCUGUGCCAGCAGCCGCGGUAAUACAGAGGCGGCAAGCGUUGUUCGGAAUUAUUGGGCGUAAAGAGCAUGUAGGCGGCUAUGUAAGUCGGUUGUGAAAGCCUUCCGCUUAACGGAAGAAUGGCGGUCGAAACUGCAUGGCUUGAGUGCGGGAGGGGAGAGUGGAACUUCUGGUGGAGCGGUGAAAUGCGUAGAUAUCAGAAGGAACGUCGGCGGCGAAAGCGACUCUCUAGACCGUAACUGACGCUGAGUGUGCGAAAGCUAGGGGAGCAAACGGGAUUAGAUACCCCGGUAGUCCUAGCCGUAAACGAUGGGCACUAAGUAGAGGGGUUUUGAUUAUCUCUCUGCCGGAGCUAACGCAUUAAGUGCCCCGCCUGGGGAGUACGGCCGCAAGGCUAAAACUCAAAAGAAUUGACGGGGGCUCGCACAAGCGGUGGAGCAUGUGGCUUAAUUCGAUGCAACGCGAAGAACCUUACCGGGGCUUGACAUGAUAGAAGUAGGAACCCGAAAGGGCGACGAACGGUAUCCAGCCCGAAACUAUCACAGGUGUUGCAUGGCUGUCGUCAGCUCGUGUCGUGAGACGUUGGGUUAAGUCCCCUAACGAGCGAAACCCUUGUCUUUAGUUGCCAUCAGGUUAUGCUGGGCACUCUAAAGAGACUGCUGUCGUCAAGACGGAGGAAGGUGGGGAUGACGUCAAGUCAUCAUGGCCCUUAUGUCCCGGGCUGCACACGUGCUACAAUGGUUGGUACAAAGGGAUGCUAAA